AGAGUUUGAUCAUGGCUCAGAUUGAACGCUGGCGGCAGGCCUAACACAUGCAAGUCGAACGGUAACAGGAAGCAGCUUGCUGCUUUGCUGACGAGUGGCGGACGGGUGAGUAAUGUCUGGGAAACUGCCUGAUGGAGGGGGAUAACUACUGGAAACGGUAGCUAAUACCGCAUAAUGUCGCAAGACCAAAGAGGGGGACCUUCGGGCCUCUUGCCAUCGGAUGUGCCCAGAUGGGAUUAGCUGGUAGGUGGGGUAACGGCUCACCUAGGCGACGAUCCCUAGCUGGUCUGAGAGGAUGACCAGCCACACUGGAACUGAGACACGGUCCAGACUCCUACGGGAGGCAGCAGUGGGGAAUAUUGCACAAUGGGCGCAAGCCUGAUGCAGCCAUGCCGCGUGUAUGAAGAAGGCCUUCGGGUUGUAAAGUACUUUCAGCGGGGAGGAAGGGAGUAAAGUUAAUACCUUUGCUCAUUGACGUUACCCGCAGAAGAAGCACCGGCUAACUCCGUGCCAGCAGCCGCGGUAAUACGGAGGGUGCAAGCGUUAAUCGGAAUUACUGGGCGUAAAGCGCACGCAGGCGGUUUGUUAAGUCAGAUGUGAAAUCCCCGGGCUCAACCUGGGAACUGCAUCUGAUACUGGCAAGCUUGAGUCUCGUAGAGGGGGGUAGAAUUCCAGGUGUAGCGGUGAAAUGCGUAGAGAUCUGGAGGAAUACCGGUGGCGAAGGCGGCCCCCUGGACGAAGACUGACGCUCAGGUGCGAAAGCGUGGGGAGCAAACAGGAUUAGAUACCCUGGUAGUCCACGCCGUAAACGAUGUCGACUUGGAGGUUGUGCCCUUGAGGCGUGGCUUCCGGAGCUAACGCGUUAAGUCGACCGCCUGGGGAGUACGGCCGCAAGGUUAAAACUCAAAUGAAUUGACGGGGGCCCGCACAAGCGGUGGAGCAUGUGGUUUAAUUCGAUGCAACGCGAAGAACCUUACCUGGUCUUGACAUCCACGGAAGUUUUCAGAGAUGAGAAUGUGCCUUCGGGAACCGUGAGACAGGUGCUGCAUGGCUGUCGUCAGCUCGUGUUGUGAAAUGUUGGGUUAAGUCCCGCAACGAGCGCAACCCUUAUCCUUUGUUGCCAGCGGUCCGGCCGGGAACUCAAAGGAGACUGCCAGUGAUAAACUGGAGGAAGGUGGGGAUGACGUCAAGUCAUCAUGGCCCUUACGACCAGGGCUACACACGUGCUACAAUGGCGCAUACAAAGAGAAGCGACCUCGCGAGAGCAAGCGGACCUCAUAAAGUGCGUCGUAGUCCGGAUUGGAGUCUGCAACUCGACUCCAUGAAGUCGGAAUCGCUAGUAAUCGUGGAUCAGAAUGCCACGGUGAAUACGUUCCCGGGCCUUGUACACACCGCCCGUCACACCAUGGGAGUGGGUUGCAAAAGAAGUAGGUAGCUUAACCUUCGGGAGGGCGCUUACCACUUUGUGAUUCAUGACUGGGGUGAAGUCGUAACAAGGUAACCGUAGGGGAACCUGCGGUUGGAUCACCU
rnacentral:rRNA from 8 species